AGCGAGCUUGCCUAGAUGAAUUUGGUGCUUGCACCAAAUGAAACUAGAUACAAGCGAGCGGCGGACGGGUGAGUAACACGUGGGUAACCUGCCCAAGAGACUGGGAUAACACCUGGAAACAGAUGCUAAUACCGGAUAACAACACUAGACGCAUGUCUAGAGUUUAAAAGAUGGUUCUGCUAUCACUCUUGGAUGGACCUGCGGUGCAUUAGCUAGUUGGUAAGGUAACGGCUUACCAAGGCAAUGAUGCAUAGCCGAGUUGAGAGACUGAUCGGCCACAUUGGGACUGAGACACGGCCCAAACUCCUACGGGAGGCAGCAGUAGGGAAUCUUCCACAAUGGACGCAAGUCUGAUGGAGCAACGCCGCGUGAGUGAAGAAGGGUUUCGGCUCGUAAAGCUCUGUUGGUAGUGAAGAAAGAUAGAGGUAGUAACUGGCCUUUAUUUGACGGUAAUCACUUAGAAAGUCACGGCUAACUACGUGCCAGCAGCCGCGGUAAUACGUAGGUGGCAAGCGUUGUCCGGAUUUAUUGGGCGUAAAGCGAGUGCAGGCGGUUCAAUAAGUCUGAUGUGAAAGCCUUCGGCUCAACCGGAGAAUUGCAUCAGAAACUGUUGAACUUGAGUGCAGAAGAGGAGAGUGGAACUCCAUGUGUAGCGGUGGAAUGCGUAGAUAUAUGGAAGAACACCAGUGGCGAAGGCGGCUCUCUGGUCUGCAACUGACGCUGAGG
rnacentral:rRNA from 1 species